AGCUUCGGCCAUCCGGCGAGGGAUGGGCCCGCGGUCCAUUAGCUAGUUGGUGGGGUAACGGCUCACCAAGGCGACGAUGGAUAGCUGGUCUGAGAGGAUGAUCAGCCACACUGGGACUGAGACACGGCCCAGACUCCUACGGGAGGCAGCAGUCGGGAAUCUUGCGCAAUGGGCGAAAGCCUGACGCAGCAACACCGUGUGGGCGACGAAGGCCUUCGGGUCGUAAAGCCCUGUUGUUGGGGACGAAGGGCGAAGGGUUAAUAGCCC
rnacentral:rRNA from 1 species